rnacentral:lncRNA from 1 species
UUAGCGCAAGAAGGCCGACAUUAAACUCGGAUGCGCUCGUUCAAACUGGGCGCGCCUACAACCAGAACCAGACGUGUUGAUUUACUCAACGAAAAAUGUCGUAUGGGCCGAUACCGAAGAUGUGUG